rnacentral:lncRNA from 1 species
AACCCGAAAACAGUUUCCAUAAUUUUUUUUCCUUUUUUUUUUCUUUAAGCAAACAGAUUUUUAUCGCUUUUAAAACUCGAUAAAUUAAAUGCUAAAAUAACUUACCGAAGAAGUUCGCAUCAAAUUUUGGAUGCCUUCCGUUGCUUAGCCUGGGGAUAUGAAAAAAAAAAAAAAGCAGUAAUUCCGUAAUAAAUCUUGCAUUCCGAAUGCACCCGAGUAACUUUUAACGUCUCUAAUUAAGGCACGAGUUUUAAAAUAUUAAAUUUUUAAACAUAAACAGCGUAGAAUCGCGAAAAAUCCUCGAUUUUUGCAGUGUUAUCACCAUAUGCCUUGCGCUUACUGAAAUUUCUCUGUAAAUUUCGCAUCGCAUUCCGAGGAAAUUUUGGCAUCUUUAAUGAAUAUUCGGCAAGAUUUUAUAUUCAUUUUUCGAUUGAAAAAAUUAUAUAUUCGCGAUACGAGUCGCGCAUUCUGCGAAGAUAAAGAUGAAGGAAGAAGAGGAGGAAGAAAAUUUCUCCAAAUUUUGCGUGCGCGUUAUAUAUGAGUUUCGAAACUUUUGUAGGUUGAAAAAUAACUGAUGCGGAGAUUAUAAAAGCCCAUUAAACAUUCAUUUGAUGUAAAAUUAAAUAGCAUAAUCUACUUUGAAUAACACAAUCCCAGUUAAUGACAAUAUACAAAAGUAGAUUUCUCUUUACUGUCGCAUUUCCGUUUUGCGUCCAUAUCCCCUCAAGGCGAAAAGGAAACCACAAAAUACUAGAAGCUUUGACAAUGCAACUAAGAGUUGAAGGAAAAAUCGAAUUUUCCUGCCCCGACAUUCGGGAGCCUUUUACCGACACUCGACGAGGAGUUUUGACAAUGUUCCAAGUUCGUUACCUUUACUUUUAUCGCUUGUUGUCGCUUGGAGAAAUAUCUUUUUGCGUUAUGUUCUCAUUAUUCGCUCCAAGUAAUAGUUUUCGAGUGUAGACGCAUUUAUCUGCUGCCUAUUUUUCUUUUUCUUUUUUUCUUUUUAUCUAAAUUAAAACCGACGACCACCGUGACGACGAGCAUCCCGGAUCCGUAAAACGAUCCGUAAACUCGAUCGAUAUCAUCGUGAUCCAAAAAAAAAUACAAAAAAGAAACAAGAGAUUAAUUACGAUACUACCUAAAAAAAAAAAACAGUUUUCAAGUAUAAUAAAAUUAACCCGAAAGCGAACGAUUAAUUGGAAAGCUCAUAAUCGAGUCGAGUUAAUUACCAUUCUAAUUUUUCGAUUAGACGAUCGAAACGGAGUCAGAAACCGAUUUUACGUGAAAAAAUUACCAGUGUAUCUUAUUGCAAAGCAUGGAAAGGCAUCAAACUUCCGAAACGAUUCUUCAGAUCCUUUGAAAUCUUGAAUAAACAAAAGUUCAUUCGAAGUCCAUGAAUUGAAGGCAAUUAAUCAUCUAAAGAAAUCAUCCGUUUCGGAUUGAAACAAAAAUCGAUGAUCUAGUUAGUUAAUAGAACAAAAUAUAUAGAAUUCAUUCAUCGCAAUACGAGACGAAACAAAAAUGCUUUCAAUCGAAAUAAAGUUAAAAAUGUCGAAAAAAAAAAUAUUUUUCGUGGCAAAAGCUGUAAAAAUAGAAUAAAGCUACUGAUAAAAAUCUACCGUGUAAGGCCUUAUAAAGGAUGAGAACUAUCUUAUUACUCUUUAGACUUAGAAUAGUUUCCGAAAACCCUCAAAAUUUUACUGAUGUAAGCUUUAAUAUCGAUAAGAUUCCAAAUCAGAUUUUGGAGUUUAUAAGGGGGAUAGAUCAUCCUAUAAACUUCUGUUUUGAGAA